AGUGCUGUUAGGAAACUCCAGUCAUCUCAAAAUAAAACAUGAAAAAUCAAGUAUCUCAUACUUUAUGGGAUUCCUGGCAGAACUCUGAUGAAGAUUUGGAAUCCAUUUCUUUGCUGACUCUGCCACGUGUUACCAUUCUCCUCAAACCAUGAGCUAAUGCAGCAGGGAGCAGACCAUCUGGUAUCAUUCGAGAGCUAAAUUUAAUCUUCAUGGGUAAGACAAAUAUGCUCAAGAGGAGCUUCCAUAUAUGCCUAACUAGAACUUUCUCUCUCAUGCCACAUCGGCUAAAUUAAAUACACACUCAGAAACAGCA
rnacentral:lncRNA from 1 species